rnacentral:rRNA from 1 species
UACGUAGGGUGCAAGCGUUGUCCGGAAUUAUUGGGCGUAAAGAGCUCGUAGGCGGUUUUGUUGCGUCGGCUGUGAAAAUCCCGAGGCUCAACCUCGGGGUCUGCAGUCGAUACGAGCAAAACUAGAGUGUUGCAGGGGGAGACUGGAAUUCCUGGUGUAGCGGUGAAAAUGCGCAGAUAUCAGGGAGGGAAACACCCGGGUGGGCGAAAGGCGGGGUCUCUGGGGCAAACAAACUGACGCUGAGGGAGCGAAAAGCGUGGGGGAGC